GCGGUUAUAGCUUAAUAGGUAUAGUAGUGAACUGUGGAUUCAAAGAGUGUGGGUUCAAAUCCCAUUAAUCGCC
rnacentral:tRNA from 1 species